rnacentral:rRNA from 1 species
AAACCGCAUAAUAUAUGACUACUGCAUGGUAGACAUAUCAAAAGAGAAAUCUGCUAAUAGAUGGACUUACGGCUGAUUAGCUAGUUGGUAAGGUAGAGGCUUACCAAGGCAACGAUCAGUAGCCGGACUGAGAGGUUGAACGGCCACAUUGGGACUGAGAUACGGCCCAGACUCCUACGGGAGGCAGCAGUCGGGAAUAUUGCGCAAUGGAGGGAACUCUGACGCAGUGACGCCGCGUAUAGGAAGAAGGUUUUAGGAUUGUAAACUAUUGUCAACAGGGAAGAAAAAAGACGGUACCUGUGGAGGAAGCCCUGGCAAACUAUGUGCCAGCAGCCGCGGUAAUACAUAGAGGGCAAGCGUUAUCCGGAAUUAUUGGGUGUAAAGGGUGCGUAGAUGGGGAAACAAGUUAGUUGUGAAAGAUUGAGGCUUAACUUCAAAAUAGCAACUAAAACUGUAGCUCUUGAGUGCAGGAGAGGUAAGUGGAAUUCCUAGUGUAGCGGUGAAAUGCGUAGAUAUUAGGAGGAACACCAGUGGCGAAGGCGACUUACUGGACUGUAACUGACAUUGAGGCACGAAAGUGUGGGGAGCAAACAGGAUUAGAUACCCUGGUAGUCCACACUGUAAACGAUGGAUACUAGGUGUAGGGAGCAAAAAGCGAACUGUGCCGUCGCAAACGCAAUAAGUAUCCCACCUGAGGAGUACGACCGCAAGGUUGAAACUUAAAGGAAUUGACGGGGGCCCGCACAAGCAGUGGAGUAUGUGGUUUAAUUC